UUCCUCUUAAGUCAUUACUGAAAGAAAAAAGCUAGUUUUGAGUCUUUUACUGAUGUAUUGUUGGCACAACCUGAAACGCGUCUGAUUUUUGACCUUCCGACCAGCCACACUGAAAAUUCGACCACCACAAACUUGUUGGUGCAUCUCUAAUGAUUUCCGACCACAUCUUCAGCUUCUGCUGUAUGUUGUUUAUUUCUUACCCAUUUAAACCUUGGAAAAGCAGCCAAUGCUCAAAAACAAUAAAGCUGAUCACAAAGGAGCAACCUGAACUUGUUCCCCUGUGUCUGUGCAGCAGCCAUUUUUCGUAAACUCUCCUUACUCCCAAUGACCGCCCACCUUGUGCUUGUUAGUCUGUUUACCUUAAACAGCUGAUUACAGGAGGUGGAGCUGCUCUGCCAGCAUUAAAAAGGCACUUGUAGCACAGACUCAACACACUUUACCCCUACUCUCAUCUUCCCACCUCUGUCAUCAUCUUCAUCUUGGCGUGCGGGUCCAGUAAUCUCUGCAGAGUUGUCUGAGACAGCACUCGGAGGGGGGGAGGAUGUAUUUAUCUCAUUGUAGUCUCGCAGACUGGAGCCAUUCACAGCCAUUUUAUCUAACUACUAACCAUAAUGCUUUGCAACAUAAACACUGGAGGACUUUUCUCUGAUAUUAUGACAUCCAUAUGGCUCUUAGUGUAACAGGUCGCGCAAGUCGAAUUAGGAAUAUUUUACUGUUUUUGUAUGAAAUCAAAGAAUGUGAGGUGUAUGAAGUAAAAUGCAUUUGAAGUCUGUUUUCCAUAACCAGGAGUGAGGCAGAAAACGUUAUAUUUAAAGUCAAACAGAAGACGUCAGCCCGUCUGCUGGCCUGAGCUUGUCCAGCUCCAGAUGGUUAAAGAAACAUUUUUACCCACUCCAUGCUUUAUGAUUACAUUACGGCUAAAUGUGCAGCUUUUGGGCUCUCCAAAGCUGUCUAGAAGGACUUGGUGUGAUCCGUUUUUCUGUUGUUACACAUACUUUCACUUAUUUAUGCCUUUGUGUCUGCUGAGGAUGAAUUAAAAUCAAAGCCAGUGAUGAUCAUUCCUCCAGUUAUAACCCAGUUGUUCCCAGUGUCUCAGUGUUUGUCGGAUUGAUGCUUUGUUGUGACAGACUUGCACUCCCAUACAACUAAAAGCCUCUUUAAAAUGGAAAAGUGUAAACUCACUCUGUUUAUGCUGUCGCUGUUACAUUUUCGUCCCCUGAUAUAAGUGACAUCACUAAAUAUUGCUCUUUCCUGACAAACAAAAUAAACUUUUAGAUGUUUUUUUUUCUGUUAUGUUUAUGUUUUAGUAUGUGGAAGAUGGCUUUCCAAAUCCAUUCUUGCCCUCCAACACUAAUCAGGUCUAUCUGGCACAUAAUGAAUGUACUGUAUGCUCCAUACAGGACAUGUACAGCAUGUGACAACGCCUUAAUUAUCUACAUAUCAACACUGUAAGCUGUAACAUUGCAAAGUAUAUAUGUAAUUAAUAAAUAUCAGCUAUCUUGU